GCCACGCGCGCUCCCGCCGCGAGACCCGGCCGCACGUGGGCAGCGCCGAGCACGUGGCCGCGGGACAACGCGCUCCAACGGUGGGCGCCGUUAUCGUGCCCCCCCUCGGGCCCUCGAACGGCGAAUCGCGGCCGCCCCACGCGGGACCCCGCGGCGGGCAGGGGGCUCCGGGGGGAUCCGCGGGGCCGUGGGACGGGAAGCGCUCCCGCUGUAACGAGUAUCCGCGCGGCCGCCAUCCGUUUUGACAGUAACGCGUGGAACGUCAGCUCGGCGAAUCCUGCGCACGGGAAACCCCCGCCGGUGAAGCCGUACAUGACCGGGAGCGCGGCGGCCCCGUGGCCGCGCUGUGCGGAGACCCGGAGCUGCGGCGCUCGGUCCCGCCGGGCAUCACGCGGCCGCUCGCACUGCCCGCGUUGUUCGGCUUCUCCCGCAGCCGGGGCAGCGCGGUGCCGUGUCGCUGCCGUCAGUGCGUGGCACACGGCUGGGAAGUGACUUUCCAGGAACGAAACUCUCCGAGCAAACCCGCUGCCCCAUCGGCACUGCAGCCCUCCCGUAGGAUUCCUGGAACAGGCUGCCCAGGGAGGUUGUGGAUGCCCCGUCCUUGGAGGUGUUCAAGACCAGGUCGGACGGGGCUCUGGGCAACCUGAUCUAGUAAAUGUGUAUGUUUGGUGGCCCUGCCAGGCAGGGGGGUUGGAACUACAUGAUCCUUGACGUCCCUUCCAACACGGGUCAUUCUGUGAUUCUGUGAUAGUGCUCCCGCUUUCCCUUGGACCGAGUGAAACAUAGCCAGCCUGUGAUCUGAGGUGCUGUCGUCAGGAACAGCUCCCUGUGAUUUCUGUCUUCUGUUUGUGUGGCUGCUCUGAGUUUAGACUUUAGGUUUGGGCCAUGCUCACAGUGCCACAGUGGCCACGUAAUGCCCAUAGAAUGCUUUGCUGACUUCACGUUGGCUGCUCUUUUUGUUGUUGUUAAGGGCUGGCUUAUCCCAGCAGAGCCCAUCCCAGCAGAGCUGCCAGCUUCCACACCGCUCUGACGGACCACUUAACGAGGGUACGAUUUAUUAACGAGACAAGAAUCUACAGCCAGCGAUUCAUCGACCCCUUAGAGAUAAGGGAGCUCCCAGUAACUUUCCUGGGUCUGUUAGCACUACAAAGGUGAAGUUUCCAGCGUGAUUUGUCCUCUGCCUUGUUGGCAGAGCUAACUGAAGGUUCCCCUAAGGGGUACGAUGCUUUAGCACCCAGCCCGGCUGCUGAGUAGGGCUGUGUCUCUUGGAUUUCAUUUGAGUCCUUAGUGGGAUUAAGCAGAGGCAACCAUAAGGCAGGAGCAUGGACAAACACAAACUCCAUUUCAGAGCCCUUGAGAACACGCUCUCCAGUCUGAACUCCACCUCCUUUCUGCUCUGCGAUGCUGGCCUGAGGCACUGCAGUUACCAGGGACCCAAGCCCAGGAGGAGACCCGAAGGGCCUCAGCUAAGCAUAAAGAAGCACAGCAUAUUGCUGCCAUAACAGCACUCGCUGAGAGGGGAGCAGACCGAGCUGUCUCCAGGCAAUGCAGGGAGCAGAGUAGAUUGGCUUCCUGGCCAGACAGCUCCCGGGUCCCUUCACCAUUUGAACUCAUGCUGAACAACUCAUUUAUUCAAAUGUUCAUUUAUUUCCCUUUAUGCCUUUGGCUCAAAAGCCACUCUGUGACACUGCAGCAGUGUCUGGAAAAUUCUGCUGGGAAGGGAAGCUCUGCUGCUCCAACAUGAGCACUCUUGAGGAAAGAAAUCACCAUUGCUCCUGAGUGCAAACAAUGUGCCAUCGCUAACCCUGCCCAGCUGAAACAACACUUUGGCCAUCAGCAUCAACCAAAACGUGAAAGCUGCCAACACCGAUAGCCCCACAAUGGCUUGGGUUGGAAGGGACCUUAAAGACCAGCAAGUCCUACCCCCCUGCCAUGGGCUGGCUAUCACCCCCCAGCUCAGCUGCCCAGGGCCCCAUCCAACCUGACCUUGAGCGCCUGCAGGGAUGGGGCACCACAGCUUCUCUCAGCAGCUGUGCCAGCACCUCACCACCACUGAGAUAAGAAUUUCCUCUGAACCUAAAUCUGCAGUGCUGGACUGGCAGUGAAGGCGCAGAUGGUAUCACCACUGCAGCAGGCAUGAGUGAGGAGCUGGAGCAGCUCAGCGUGCCGAGGCCAUGGCGUGGUACAGUAACAUGGAGAGAGAAUGGCUGCAAAUGUGGAGGCCUCUCUGCUUCUUGUCACACACAUUUGGUGUGAAUGAGGACCCAAACCUCUGGCACGGCUCCUUUCUUGUUGAUUGCUGCAAUAUCCUGCAGCACUGGGGAGGCAGUGUUGUGGCACGUGAUGUUGAAAGUGCUCUCAGUGCUAGUUAUGGCAGUUUGGUCCUGUAAAACGUACCACUGCAGCACCAGUCAAUUGCUUUUCUGCAGCACACAUCUCAAAUCUAAGCCGCCCUACAACCAAACCCAAGAGCCCAAAAGCAGAAGAGAAACAGCCUUAGUGUGCAGAGUGAGUUCCUUGCAAGUCAUAUGCAUUUUGCACAAGACCUUAAGGUGAAAUCAAGUCCCUUUCUUGUAGGAAAGCAAUCAGGGCCUCCUCUUGCCUGAUGCCUGACUUCCUGCUGCCCGCAGGAGCAGGGCACGCUCUGCUCAAUGUGCAGGUGCACUGAGAGAUGGAGCUGGAGGGCACUGCUGGAAGCCAGCACACUGCCAGGGCCAGGAUUGCCCUCUAGUGAUUCCAAUAGGUGCACGGGGGGAGUCAGGAGCAAGCAAUGUAGAAAACGGGGUUUUGCUGAGGACUCACCUGUCUGAUUUGCCGAGUCAUUUUUUAGCUAUUACAUAUUGCAACCCAAAGUGCUGCAGCGACUUGGAGGACAGUCGUGCAUCUGAAAAGCGAAUGCUUUUUACCAAGCAGAAAAUACAAAUCUGCCCUAGAAAUUGGAGAAUUUAACCUGUUUGGUUUUCUUUUCCCUCUAAAAAUGCAAGGUGUGGGGGCCUGCAGUUCCAAGAACAGAAGAAAUCGCACGUGCUUAAUGGCUGUUACUACAAGAAAAUGUGACCAAAAGACAUCCCUUCCCACAACAGUUGAAAGAUGCACCUUGGCAAAAAACCGUUCUGCAGUCAGGGAGGAAUGAAAGCCAACUUGCAGUGCUGCAGAGCGUGAGUCUCCUACACGCGGGGGAGCCAGAGCACUCCUCAGCUGGCACAGCACAGGGAGCCGGUGAUGCACGGGAAUGGCCAUGCACAAGUGGCAGCACCUGGACGUGGGGACAGAGCGGGCAGCACCAAGCUGGGAGAAUAAGAAUCAGCAAAGGGGAGAUUUCAGCAACAGGUUAUACCCCAGAGCACCACAAGCUGGUACACCUGAACAGCGUACCUGGGGCAAGAAGCAUUUCACAGCCACUCCACAGAACGCUUUCUCAAUACUUCCAUGAGAGUGAAAAAAAAAGAACCUUUUCAA